CCCCACAGCAGUGCCUGCCCGCAGCCCCACAGCAGUGCCUGCCCGCAGCCCCACAGCACUGUCUGUCUGCAGCACCACAGCAGGGUCUCUAAAUGUCACCUUUGAUGGGUCCUGAGGAGGAACUUGAACCAGAACUGUCAAUGAAUAACAAGAAUUGUUGCACCUUAUCCUCCUGAUUAUUGACCCAGAUCUAUGACAAUUUCUGUGCCUUAAUCAAUGCAAACAUAACACAGUGUAGGAAGUUUUGCCUUCUUAUGCAGAAGUUUGCGUGGUUCUGAUUCCUGGAAUUACCAACAUCCAGG